CCUACGGGCCGCACCAGUGGGGAAUAUUGGACAAUGAGCGAAAGCCUGAUCCAGCAAUGCCGCGUGUGUGAAGAAGGUCUUCGGAUUGUAAAGCUCUUUCGACGGGGACGAUGAUGACGGUACCCGUAGAAGAAGCCCCGGCUAACUUCGUGCCAGCAGCCGCGGUAAUACGAAGGGGGCUAGCGUUGCUCGGAAUGACUGGGCGUAAGGGCGCGUAGGCGGUUUAAGCAGUCAGAUGUGAAAUCCCCGGGCUUAACCUGGGAACUGCAUUUGAGACGCAUAGACUAGAGGUCGAGAGAGGGUUGUGGAAUUCCCAGUGUAGAGGUGAAAUUUGUAGAUAUUGGGAAGAACACCGGUGGCGAAGGCGGCAACCUGGCUCGAUACUGACGCUGAGGCGCGAAAGCGUGGGGAGCAAACAGGAUUAGAUACCCCUGUAGUC
rnacentral:rRNA from 1 species